GGAGAGGUCGCAUAGUGGACUAGUGCGGCGGUCUUGAAAACCGCUAAGGGCGCAAGCUCUUCGUGGGUUCGAAUCCCACCCUCUCCG
rnacentral:tRNA from 1 species